AUGGUGGAAGGAGAGCAGUGGGGGUUGGCACGGUUUCUUUUGGCAGGAGAUGAGAAAUGCAGACUCCUGGGCACUCUACAUGUACCCUUCCACAUCAUUUGGCUUUCCUUCACCCUACCCUGGCAUCUGCUUUCUAGCCUUUGGAAAAGUACACAUGUGGAAAGCACCAUCAACCAAUUCUCUUUUGUAGUUCUUCACAUUUCCAGGACUUCAAGAAACCUUGAACCACCAUCUCCUUCUCUCAGGAAAAAUCACCUCCGAGAACAACAUAAAUCAGCUGUUAAUUUUCAACAGAUUCCGAACCAGGAUUUGGAAAGGGACUUUGAAGAAACAAAUGCAUGUUGGGGAGAACCUUACCAGUGGGACACAGGAGAGGAAUAACUUUAGUUGCAGGCUCUAUGGCAGAGGUUCUCAAAAUGUUGCCCCUGAGCUUGCAGCAUCAGCAUCACCUGGGAGAUAGGUAAGUGGUUGGACCCCACCCCAGACCCACUGAGUCAGAAUCCUGGGAGGGGGCCAGCAAUGAGCUUUUAUGAGCACUUGAGAUGGUUCUGGGUUUGAGAACCAGACGUUUGAGAACCAUUGCUCUAAUGUUUUUCUUGAGAAUUAAAUUCUCUCUAUGGUCUGGGAUGUACUUGGAAUGACAUCAUAUAAAACUGACCAUGCUAUCAUCUACAUUUACUAAAGUAGAGAUAUCAUCAUGGUACAGGGUGAUAUGGCCACUAAUCCUUUAACACUGACAAAAUAGUUUUUGUUGGGAACUACUCAAAAAGCCAGCAAUCUUAGUUGAGGUCUUAGAAUACCAAAAGCUAGUUAUUGAAAAUAUACCAGCGCUGAAUAAGCAAUGAUGUUAGCAUGGAUUUGCUGACUGCCAGGUACUAAGAAACAUUGAUAAACUUAUACUUUGUAUAAGGCUUAUAAUAUUUUAGACAAUUGUCAUGACUAUCUCCUCUUUCUUUUUAAUCCCUAGUUCUUUAUUUCACCUUAAAAAAAUAGAAACAUCAUACAACCACAAGAAUGAACUGACUAUAAUUACAUGCAACAACAUGGGUAGAUCUUACACAUAAUGUUGACCUAAAAAGGCUGGACACAAGAGUAAGUAAAGCAUGACUUCACCUACGUAAAGCUUAAAAACAAGGGGAAAAAUUUAUUAGUGUUAGAAAUCUGAUAGUGGCUGGGGAGUGGAAAGAGGCUCCAAGGAAGCUUCUGGAGUGCUAACAACAUUCUGUUUCUUGAUCUGGGUGCUAGAGUGGGAUUACCAUAUGAAAAAUCGCUGAUUUUGUAUCUCUGUACUUUGAUACAAAGUUUAAAAAUGUUAAGAAUAGGAUGAAUGGGAUGCUAGAAUUUUAAGAAGUUAAAAUGUCUUCCCUUCUGCAUUCAAAGCCACGUUGGAUGUUGAGGUGGUAUUCUCAGUACAUGUUGGGGAAGUCAGUGGCCCAUCAUCCACUGCAGUGAACAAAGAGUCCUUGGACUCAAAAUCUCCAAAAGAGGACACAGGGAUGAUCAGGUGCCAGUGAUGCUGUGCAGUUCAUUCCAGCCUCAGUGUGCACUAAGUCAGGACAAGACAAAUCCAGAGGAGAUGAGGCACUCAACAGUGCCCUACACAAGCACCUAGUGGUCUCCGCCUGCAAGCAUGUUUGUUCCCCUGGUCCACCUGGGUCACACCCCCAUCCAGUUGCUGCCAUCAUUUCCAGUUGUGGUUCAGCUCUUGAUUUAGUGCUUCCUUGGCUCUGUCUCCCACAUUCUCCCCAUUCCCCUACUCUCCCUUCUUUUUCUCUUUCUUUCUCAUGAAACCUACCUGGUCUUCACUCUAUUAUCUCAGAAACUUUGAUAUUAGCCAGUUCAUGACACUGCUAGUCCUCAAGCCCCGGUUGCAUGUUAGUGUCCCUUGGAAGUGGUAUAAAAACACUGAUAUCUGGGCAACUGCUGACCAAUUACACAGGAAUCUAUGGAGAUGCCCCUACCAUGAGUACUUUUAUGAGCUCCCUGAGUGAUACUAAAAGGCAGCUUGGAAUUGAGAAGUUCUACUCUGGUUUCCAGAGGUGAUAGAUGUUGCUUACGCAGCACUCCUCUCUACGGCUGGAUCUUGGUCCCUAUGGCCAUACCUGCGUUUCCAUGCAGCCUGCAGAGCUAUCACAAAGGAGUGACUAAUUCUAUAUAUUGUACUCCGGCUCUGCGGAGCAGCAGGUUCCCUGGGCUGGGUUGGAGUUGCACAAAACUGGCCAUGGUCACAGACUUCCCCAGACACAACCUGGGGCCUGCUCCUGGGGACUUGGUUCAGAGCGCAGCAACUCCACCACAGAUGUCCCCACUUACCAUAAAGAAUGCCUGCCAAAAACAAUACUUUAAAAAAAAAACAAGGUUUUAAGACAUCUACUAAAGAGCUAAUGGUGUGGUCAUUGUCCUAAUGGGCUUUUAAUGAUGUAUAAAGUUCUUGGCUGAUAGUCAACGCGAUGGAAAGUUUUAUAGAAGUUAUUUUGUGAGCUUAAAAUCAUAUCCUCUCUUUGACUCAUGCUUCUUAUUUCUGUAAUCUCAAACUCAAGAGUCUUAAGUAUGAGGAAGAUGUCUACUAAAAUCCUUACUUCCUUUUUUAAAUUAUUUUUAAUAAUAAAUUUAUUUUUUAUUGGUGUUCA
rnacentral:lncRNA from 1 species